AUUGAACGCUAGCGGGAUGCUUUACACAUGCAAGUCGAACGGCAGCGCGGACUUCGGUCUGGCGGCGAGUGGCGAACGGGUGAGUAAUGUAUCGGAACGUGCCCAGUAGCGGGGGAUAACUACGCGAAAGCGUAGCUAAUACCGCAUACGCCCUACUGGGGAAAGCAGGGGAUCGUAAGACCUUGCACUAUUGGAGCGGCCGAUAUCGGAUUAGCUAGUUGGUGAGGUAACGGCUCACCAAGGCGACGAUCCGUAGCUGGUGUGAGAGGACGACCAGCCACACUGGGACUGAGACACGGCCCAGACUCCUACGGGAGGCAGCAGUGGGGAAUUUUGGACAAUGGGGGCAACCUUGAUCCAGCCAUCCCGCGUGUGCGAUGAAGGCCUUCGGGUUGUAAAGCACUUUUGGCAGGAAAGAAACGUCGCGGGCUAAUACCCCGUGGAACUGACGGUACCUGCAGAAUAAGCACCGGCUAACUACGUG
rnacentral:rRNA from 1 species